rnacentral:rRNA from 1 species
AGGACGAACGCUGGCGGCGUGCCUAACACAUGCAAGUCGAGCGGGGUCCAUCCGGUAGCAAUACCGGGGAAGACCUAGCGGCGAACGGGUGAGUAACACGUGAGAAACCUGCCCCGAAGUCUGGGAUAACCCGAGGAAACUCGAGCUAAUACCGGAUGUCUUCUUCUGAUCGCAUGGUCGGAUGAAGAAAGAUUUAUCGCUUCGGGAGGGUCUCGCGGCCUAUCAGCCAGUUGCGGGGUAACGGCCCACCAAGGCGUCGACGGGUAGCUGGUCUGAGAGGACGAUCAGCCACACUGGGACUGAGACACGGCCCAGACUCCUACGGGAGGCAGCAGUGGGGAAUAUUGCGCAAUGGGCGAAAGCCUGACGCAGCAACGCCGCGUGCGGGAUGAAGGCCUUCGGGUUGUAAACCGCUUUCAGUGGGGACGAAUUCAGACGGUACCCACAGAAGAAGCCCCGGCCAACUACGUG